rnacentral:rRNA from 1 species
AGAGAUGUGUGAUGACGCAUAUCAAUAAGCGGAGGAAAAGAAACUAACUAGGAUUCCCUUAGUAACGGCGAGUGAAGCGGGAAGAGCUCAAAUUUGAAAUCUUCAAGGUUCUACCUUGACGAAUUGUAGUUUAUAAGAAGUGCUUUCUGUUAGUAGAGUGGCAAAAGUUCUUUGGAAUAGGACAUCAUAGAGGGUGAGAAUCCCGUAUUUGGUCAUUCUUCUAGCUUUGUGAUACACUUUCAACGAGUCGGAUUGUUUGGGAAUGCAGUCCAAAAUGGGUGGUAAAUUUCAUCUAAAGCUAAAUAUUGGCGAGAGACCGAUAGCGAACAAGUACCGUGAGGGAAAGAUGAAAAGAACUUUGAAAAGAGAGUUAAACAGUACGUGAAAUUGUCAAAAGGGAAGCGUUUGACACCAGUGUUGUUUUUCCGAAAAUCAAUUACGAAUGUUUUGUUUUUGAGAAGUUAUGACUUCAUCGGCUUGCUUCUCUCUUUACGAAACUUUCUUAAUGCACUUUUCGGUUAACAAGUCAACAUCAAUUUCUUUUGUUGUAAAAGGGUAUGAGGUAGGUGGCUUUCUUUUCGGAGAAAGUGUUUAUAGCCUUGUAGCCUCUGCAAUCGGAGAGAUUGAGGUCUGCAGCGUAGAUCCUUCGGGGUUAGAUACAUUUGUGCUAAGUUAUAGCUUUUCAUAGACAACUUGUUGACUAUGUUAAGUCUUGUAGCUUACUCGCUUAUGCUAUUUUACCUACGCUUAGGAUGUUGAGUCGUAGAGCACGCAG